UCUAUCUAGGACUUGUUUAUUCGGGCCCUGCGUGGCUAAAGCUUUGUGCUUGCUUGACUUCUAUUUGGGAAUGUAAUAUGACUUUAACUUAUCUUGUAGCCUUGCAUGGCUUUUAUGUACUCGACUUAUCGUAUCUUUUAUAAGGGUUGUACCACAACUCUUAAGUUAUUAAUCUAACUAUUUCGGAUUUGAGCUUCUAGCUUUUGUGUUGUAUGUUUCGAGUUUUCAUGCCAUGCAUUUACUGUCCAGACCUUAGGAUUCACAACGCAAUAUCUAUAAGGAAAACAUUCACGCAAACGGAAUUUAAACAAAUAUAAAGGAUACUAGGUAAUCUUCGAG
rnacentral:lncRNA from 1 species